GACGAACGCUGGCGGCGUGCUUAACACAUGCAAGUCGAACGGAAAGGCCCUGCUUUUGUGGGGUGCUCGAGUGGCGAACGGGUGAGUAACACGUGAGUAACCUGCCCUUGACUUUGGGAUAACUUCAGGAAACUGGGGCUAAUAUCGGAUAGGAGAUCCUGCUGCAUGGUGGGGGUUGGAAAGUUUCGGCGGUUGGGGAUGGACUCGCGGCUUAUCAGCUUGUUGGUGGGGUAGUGGAUUACCAAGGCUGUGAAGGGUAGCCGGCCUGGGAGGGUGACCGGCCACAUUGGGACUACGGUACGGCCCAGACUCGUACGGUAGGCAGCAGUGGGGAAUAUUGCACAAUGGGCGGAAGCCUGAUGCAGCAACGCCGCGUGCGGGAUGACGGCCUUCGGGUUGUAAACCGCUUUCGCCUGUGACGAAGCGUGAGUGACGGUAAUGGGUAAAGAAGCACCGGCUAACUACGUG
rnacentral:rRNA from 1 species